GCACCAGUGGUCUAGUGGAAGAUUGAUACUCUGCCACGUUACGGAGCAAGGUUCGAUUCCUGGCUGGUGGU
rnacentral:tRNA from 1 species